CUUGGUCAUUUAGAGGAAGUAAAAGUCGUAACAAGGUUUCCGUAGGUGAACCUGCGGAAGGAUCAUUACAAAUCUUUGCGAGUGCUGCGUGCAUAACUGUGCGUAGCAUCUCACAACAUUAGCACAAGGUCGCAAGGCCUUGAUGUUUACGCUUGUUUGUUUGACAGAGUUAGUUGAGACAAUAAUAAAGACAACUUUUAACAAUGGAUCUCUUGGCUCUUGCAACGAUGAAGAACGCAGUAAAGUGCGAUAUGUAGUGCGAUUUGCAUGAAUCUGUGAGUCAUCUAAUUUUUGAACGCAACUUGCGCCUCUUACGAGGCAUGUCUGUUUGAGUGCCGUAAUCCUCUGCAGCAAUGCGAUUUGACUCUUGUCUUUGUUGACCGAGUUUAAAGGGAGCUAGAGGAUGGUCAGUUUGGACUAGCCCGAGUGCUAAGCAUUCUUGGGUCUAGCGCUGGAUUGCCCAUUUCAUCUAUUUUUUAUUUUGGCCUCAAAUCAGGCAAGACUACCCGCUGAACUUAAGCAUAUCAAUAAGCGGAGGA
rnacentral:rRNA from 1 species